AGUGAACGCUGGCGGUAGGCCUAACACAUGCAAGUCGAACGGCAGCACAGGAGAGCUUGCUCUCUGGGUGGCGAGUGGCGGACGGGUGAGGAAUACAUCGGAAUCUGCCCAGUCGUGGGGGAUAACGUAGGGAAACUUACGCUAAUACCGCAUACGACCUUCGGGGGAAAGAGGGGGAUCGCAAGACCUCUCGCGAUUGGAUGAGCCGAUGUCGGAUUAGCUAGUUGGCGGGGUAAUGGCCCACCAAGGCGACGAUCCGUAGCUGGUCUGAGAGGAUGAUCAGCCACACUGGAACUGAGACACGGUCCAGACUCCUACGGGAGGCAGCAGUGGGGAAUAUUGGACAAUGGGCGCAAGCCUGAUCCAGCCAUACCGCGUGGGUGAAGAAGGACUUCGGGUUGUAAAGCCCUUUUGUUGGGAAAGAAAUCUUUCAGGCUAAUACCCUGGGAGGAUGACGGUACCCAAAGAAUAAGCACCGGCUAACUUCGUG
rnacentral:rRNA from 1 species